rnacentral:miRNA from 1 species
AGUGGAAGGACAAAAUGCAAUCUG